UCAAAGGGGGUUGAAGUUACAGUGGAAUGCAGAGGCUGAUCUAAGAGAGUCAAACAGGGCACAGAAGGUUGGUUUUAUUGUGCUAGGAGGAAUAGGUAGGCACAUGGUAGACAUCCCAUAAGCACUGGCUGAAUGAGUGAAUAAAUCAUGAACACAACGUGUUUUAUUUACUCAGUCAUCCAGUGCUUAUGGGAUGCCUAUUAUGUGCCAGGUGGCAUGCUCAGAGAAAGUUCACUUUCCAGUUGUGUUAGGAAGUAAGGAAGCCCAGGAAACAAGAUAGUCAAGAUUUUGUGAUAUCUCAGUGACUUAAAGAUUCACUUCUUCCCUAAAUAUUAAAGAACUGGAAAGAGCUACACGGGUGGCUGGAUAACUGGGUAAACUGAAAAAGAAGCAUUUGGUGGUAGGGGUAUACCCUGUCUUGGGUUACUAGGUCUGUGGUUAUGAAAUACCACAGUGAGUGGUUUAAACAAGUUUAUUGUCUCAGUUCUGGAGACUAAAAGUCCAAAAUCAAGGUGUCAGCAGGGUGCGCUCCUUCUGAAUGUGUGAAGGAAAGAGCUGUUCCAGGCUUCUCUCCUUGUUGGCUGGUGUGAUGGUUAAUAUUGAGUGUCAACUUGAUUAGAUUGAAGGAUGCAAGGUAUUGUUCCUAGGUGUGUUUGUGAGAGUGUUGACAAAGGAGAUUAACAUCUGAGUUGGUGGAGUGGGAGAGGCAGAUCCACCCUCAGUCUGGGUGGGCACCAUCUAAUCACAGCUGCUAGCAUAAAAGCAGGCAUGGAAAAAGCAGACUUGCUGAGUCUCUGGCCUCCAUCUUUCUCCCAUGUUGGAUGCUUCCUGCCCUCGAACAUCAGACUCCAAGUUCUUCAGCUUUUGGACUCUCGGACCUACACAAGUGACUUGCCAGGGGCUCUUGGGCCUUCAGCCACAGACUAAAGGCUGCCCUAUCAGCUUCCCUACUUUUGAGGUUUGGGGAUUUGGACUGGUUUCCUGGCUCCUCAGCUUGCAGACGGACUACUGUGGGACUUCACCUUGUGAUCAUGACAGUGCAUGCUGCGGCACUCCAUGAUGGUACCUCAUCCCUGCCUCUGAUGCCCAGUGCCAAUCACCCUUCUGCCGGCACAGUUACAACCUCGACUGCGUAGUUGACACAAUGCAACCCUCCAAGUUCCAGAAUGAUGCUUCUUUUCUAGGAGCUCCCAGAGAGCCAAAGCCUUGAGUGUCCCACACAGAACAGAUUCCCUCUCCCCAGCCUGGCAUCCCUCUUGGUCAUCCCAGCACCAAGAGGACUGUCUGAGCACCAAUGUCUCAAGAAGACUUUUGAUGACAACAGUGGAAACCAUUUCUUCAGCUUCUCUUUACAUUGUUUCUUUCUCUAGAAUCUGCAUGCAGGAUUUUCCCUCUGGAUUAAAUGACCAAUCUCUGAGACAGACACCCAUUUUCUUCUCCCAACCUUCCUCCCCAUCAUUCAUGCACUGAUUGUGUUUCUUCCACCAAAGGCUUUAAAAAAUGCCAAUGGAAUUGUAAACCAAUCUAAAAUCUGAUGGAAGGGGAAAGACAUAAAGUUGUAGCCACAGAUAUUUCAGCUUUAAGACAUUCCUCACCUCUUCCCCCUAAGUCUCAGGUUCCCCAUCAAUGGAAUGAAAUGGACAUA
rnacentral:lncRNA from 1 species